UUUCCCAGGCUCGUCUUGAACUCCUGGGCUCAAGCAAUCCUCCUGCCUUGGCCUCCUGAAGUAUGUGAGCCAAUGCGCCUGGCCCUCUCUUUUCUUAUCUCCAUAUCCACAUGCAAUCACAGAACCUGAGAGGCUGAAGUGAUCUAAAGCAUCACUCUUCUCUAGAUUUAUCCCUGACUAAUGCAGGAAUCCCCUUUCAAAUCAGGCAAGGGAUCGUUCAGCCCAGGCGAGAGAGGACUGUGAGAGAGGCUGAGUGAUACCCAGCCUGACGGGAAAGCAGUUGAAUUUUAAAGAGUGUUUCAUACACUGUCAAGUUGCCAUGAAUGUCAAUUUCUUAAUGAGAUUUUGUGCUAAAUGCAUUUUGCCCUCUCCCCCAUGUUUGUGCUGGUUAAAAAAGCUCAGUGCAGGGAGGCAGAGAGACCUAAGUUUUUGUCUCAGAAAGCUCCUCAUCAUUUUAACUCCUUCUACAUAAAAUGAGGGGUUUGGGCCACACGAUCCCUGGAGCCUCUUCUAUUAAUAGUUCUGACAUCCACGAUGCUGGCAUAUUUGAUGGAUAAGCUAUCAGCCUUCUUGGAGUCCAUGUCUUAGGGAAAGAUUUGCUGGGGUUUUAGGUCUCAUCUUAGAAUAGUACAUUAGACAUUGUCCAAGGUACAAUAUAAAGUGAUUUCAUCUUGCCUUAAUUUCAUUAUGAACACAACAGUUUCAAAUUAGCUCCCCGACACCGCCCCCACCCCCCAAUUCUGUUCAGCUUUGCCUGUGAGAUUUUCCAUGGCGUUGGAACUUGAUCCACGGGAGAACUUUGAUCCUCUUCAAGUGGCCCUGGAAACUCACGUGGGAAAAUAUUAGUCAUGUUGACAAGAGAGAUAGGAGGUUCUCGUGGUGAAACAAGUCCCGCUGCUCAGGAGGCUGCAGCUUAAAGGAUUUCAAGGUGACCUUGGAAGUGGGCACUGACCUUGGAUAAGACCCCUAUAUGCCAGGCUGGUGGAGAACAGGUGGAGGGAGGCCUGAAGACAGCCCUAAACGGAGGGGUCUGGAAACCUGGACACCGGCCCUGCCCUUGACUUCAACUAAGUCCGGGUCACAUGAACUCUGAAAGCCACAUGUUGAGAUGGCCCCACUACAGGAUGGAGAGCACCUGAACCCCCAAAUUAUGGAAUAGAAGAAGACAGUUGCCCUGGAAAAUUAUCUGACCCACAUUGGACUUUAUGUGAGUGGGAAAUAAACCUUUAUUAUGUUAAGCUACACAAUAAUAAAUAAUAAUAAUAACAAUAA